rnacentral:rRNA from 1 species
GACGAACGCUGGCGGCGUGCUUAACACAUGCAAGUCGAACGGAAAGGCCCCUUUGGGGGUACUCGAGUGGCGCACGGGUGAGUAACACGUGAGUAACCUGCCCUUGACUUCGGGAUAACUUCAGGAAACUGGGGCUAAUACCGGAUAGGAAUCCUUGCUGCAUGGUGGGGGUUGGAAAGCUUCGGCGGUUUUGGAUGGACUCGCGGCUUAUCAGCUUGUUGGUGGGGUAGUGGCUUACCAAGGCUUUGACGGGUAGCCGGCCUGAGAGGGCGACCGGCCACAUUGGGACUGAGAUACGGCCCAGACUCCUACGGGAGGCAGCAGUGGGGAAUAUUGCACAAUGGGCGGAAGCCUGAUGCAGCAACGCCGCGGGCGGGAGGACGGCCUUCGGGUUGUAAACCGGUUUCAGCAGGGGCGAAGCUUGUGGUGACGGUACCUGCAGAAGAAGCACCGGCUAACUACGUG